GUGAGACCAGGACAAUGGAUUACAUUAGAGAAGGGAAAGGUAAAGACUGAAAAUGCUUCUCUGAUGGGAAAGCAACUUCCUAUAUCCCACGAGCUCGUGUUACUAUAAUACUAAUACUAAUAGGACUCUGACAAUGCCCGGCGCGUAGCAGUUCCUGGUAGACAGGGUCACUGACAGGUGUCACGGGUCUGGUGGCUUGCAGGCAUAACACAACAGGAACAUUCGAAGCAGGAGUGGACGAGGAAACGGCAGAUUUGUCCGCUGUGAUGAUGGGAUUACCUAACUCUGUCACCAGACACCUCGGUGUCCCUCCCUUUACUGCCUCUCCAGCUACGCUCUCUACCAGCGUCUCCCAAGUCUGCCAUCGUUUUCACACCCAUGGAGGAUGAACUGGAAGUGCCAAGAAAAAUAACAGAGAAUCUUUGGAAGGAGAUAGAAACCGAAUUAAAUGAGGCUCCAUUCUGAAGAUUUUCUAAGCUCUCGGAUCCCAUCAUCACAAAGCAUCCAAAGAGAAAAGAUGGACUUCACUCUCCCUGUAUUAUAACAAAGAGCUCAGACUAGCCUCUUAUCAGUGCUUUGUCGUAUCAGAGUAAGUGACUCUAUAGACAUGCUCUGUUCACCUGCUUUCCCUCCUUGCUUCAACUUACUCCCCAUUGCCUAUGCACAUCCACUCCCCACGGCAAGAUGCAGUCAAGGACCACAUAAAGGAAGAUUUCUAUUUGAAUUUGCCAGAAGUGGAGCCGUUCUAAAGUUCACCAUAAAUGCUGGGCUGGAAGCCGUCCUGAUAACAUAGGUGUU
rnacentral:lncRNA from 1 species